rnacentral:rRNA from 1 species
AUGGAUUUGCCCAAGCGAGCUCUCCCCCAAGGUUCCCCGCGACGAAGCCCCAGGGCCAUGGAGGGCGACGAGAACGCGGCCCCGAGGCGCCCCGCCGCGGCGGGGCCCGCGUCCCCGCAGAGGAAGAAGGUUCUGGGGGUGCGGAACGGCGCCGGCCGCGGGCAGGAGGGCGCCGCGUCGGCCGCCAAGGCCGCCGCGCUCGCCACGCCGCCUCCCACCGGAGGGGGGGCGGGGACGUACGACCCCAAGACGAACUACACCACGCCGCGGCCCGACUUCCUGCGCUACGACCCCAAGCGGAGCCGCGAGAUCAUCCUCCGCCUGGGGCGCGAGGUGGAGGGCGGCGACAGCUCCAGCGCCACCUCGGGCACCGAGCUCUCCGAGGUGCUGUCUUCCGGCUCGUCGGCGGCGAGAGGGGGCGACUCCGAGUGCGACGACGCCGACGACGAGGAGGAGGUGGUGCCUGCGCAAGGACGGGGAGGCCGCUGGGCGCGGCGACUGCUGCUGCUGCUCGUGUCCUCGGCCUGCCUCUUGUGCUACAUCUACUGUAUGAGUUCCGCUCCCUUCCCUGCUACUACUUCAGAAGAACCCGUCAGUUUCGUCGGAUUUAAUGGGAGCAUGUCUGAUGUCGGUGUUCACGAGGUAGUUCCUCUGCCGGGGCCAAUUCAGUAUGAACAUGAGGCAGAUAUAGGCCAAUCUGUGGUCGGGGGCAGUGACGAUGGCAUCCCUUUGCACGGCCCAGGAGCUUCACCUAGCAAUUUCAUGGCAGUUGCAAUGGUGGGAAUGGCAGAUGCCUGCCCUAAUGUUGCCUUCGGAGAAUUUACAUGCCAAAUCGGGGAUGAGAGCAGCGAGAUUUUGGAUGUUCUGAAUGAAGAUUCUGGGAUAGGCGAGCUGAAAUCGGAAGCGAGCAUGAGGCCACUCGAGAAUGCUGAAGAAAGCAGUGAAGUUGUAUGCUCAGGUGGAGAUGUCACUGAAGUUCCCUUUGGUUCCACCCACAGCGAUGAUAUGGAUGAGAACAAGCUAGGAUUAGUUCCUCAAGAGACAGGGGGAGAUGAAUCAAAACAAUCCAUGCCACAGUUGGUCACCAUGGAUGAAAUUCUGGAAUCAGAAAGCGUGAAGGUGGUGAGUGAUGAUAAGGGUUUGGAAACUGAGAGGUUGGAUCAAGAAGAAUUCGACUCGUUGGGGUAUGAGAACACAGCUGAAGGUGCCAAGAAACUUGUUGAUAUGGUGAAAAUCCUGUGGUCUGCAGUGGAACCACAUUUGCUGAAGAUGCUGGCAUGCUUAUCUGUUGCAGGCCUUGUGACUGUUAUGAUCAAGUAUUCCCAAAGGUCUCGCAAGGUCAAGGUGCCCGUGUCACAACGUAUGCCUUCAGUUCCACCCAGGCGAGUGCCAGUACUAGCUCCACAUAAUACUGUGCCACUGCCGGCGUUCCAUUCAGAGCAACCUGUGCAACGGAUUGUGCCCAAACAAGAGUCAUCUGCCUGCUUGGAGCCUCCUAUGCAAUCCUUGUUGUCAGAGUCAGACCAAUCUGUGUGCCUCAAUGUUCCAUCAAGUGGUCAUAGGGAUCAUGAUCAGAAAGUUCAGCAAGAGGAUGGUGGUGGCGUUGAAAGGGCUUCAGAUGGCAGUACUGUGGAUCAGAAAGAUACUGACAGAUCAAAGCCACCAGUGGUUCAGUUGCUCGGAGAGUUCUCAUUUGUCGAUGCAGAUAGCUCAAGACGGAGGUCUGCCAAAGACUCAAUUCAGCAUGGUGGAGACGUCACGGUUCAGGAAUCCAUGUCUUCGAGGAAGCGUGUAGUCAAGACGCAAAAGGAUUCUGACAAAAUGCAAACCCCUGGUCUUCAAGCAGCAAGAAAGAAGGAGACUGCAAGAGCAGAAGAAGAGAAGGUGGAUGCUACACCGACUCCGCUGAGGCGUUCAAACCGUCUCCGUAAACUGGCUUCUCCUUGA